rnacentral:rRNA from 1 species
AUAGCAUAUCAAUAAGCGGAGGAAAAGAAACCAACAGGGAUUGCCCUAGUAACGGCGAGUGAAGCGGCAACAGCUCAAAUUUGAAAUCUGGCCUCCUUUGGUGGUCCGAGUUGUAAUUUGUAGAGGGCGCUUUGGCGUCGGCAGCGGUCUAAGUUCCUUGGAACAGGACGUCACAGAGGGUGAGAAUCCCGUACGUGGUCGCCUGCCUUCGCCGUGUAAAGCCCCUUCGACGAGUCGAGUUGUUUGGGAAUGCAGCUCUAAAUGGGAGGUAAAUUUCUUCUAAAGCUAAAUACUGGCCAGAGACCGAUAGCGCACAAGUAGAGUGAUCGAAAGAUGAAAAGCACUUUGGAAAGAGAGUCAAACAGCACGUGAAAUUGUUGAAAGGGAAGCGCUUGCCGCCAGACGUGCCCGUGGUGGUUCUCCUCCGCGGGCAGGCCAGCAUCAGUUUGGGCGAUCGGAUAAAGGCCUCUGUCAUGUAUCUCCCUUCGGGGUGACCUUAUAGGGGAGGCGUAAUGCGAUCAGCCCGGACUGAGGUCCGCGCAUCUGCUAGGAUGCUGGCGUAAUGGCUGUAAGCGGCCCGUCUUGAAACACGGACCAAGGAGUCUAACAUCUAUGCGAGUGUUUGGGUGUCAAGCCCGAGCGCGUAAUGAAAGUGAACGGAGGUGGGAACCCUUUCUGGGGGUGCACCAUCGACCGAUCCUGAUGUCUUCGGAUGGAUUUGAGUAAGAGCAUGGCUGUUGGGACCCGAAAGAUGGUGAACUAUGCUUGAAUAGGGUGAAGCCAGAGGAAACUCUGGUGGAGGCUCGCAGCGGUUCUGACGUGCAAAUCGAUCGUCAAAU